UCUAUGGCCAUACCGCCCUGAACGCACCCGAUCUCAUCUGAUCUCGGAAGCUAAGCAGGGUCGGGCCUAGUUAGUACUUGGAUGGGAGUAAUGGCAACUGGCUUACCAGUAGGA
rnacentral:rRNA from 1 species